ensembl:lncRNA
CUCACAUAAAUUGAGGAUUCACAGAACGUUCAGGCAGCCCUGGAUGUGGCACUCAAGGACAUGUUUGAGCAGUCAACACCUGAAACUCUGCAAUGGGGACCCCAGGAGAUGACAGGGAGUGACUCAAGUCUCUGCCACCAAACGAGCAUCCCGUGACAGGCCAGGUGUGCUUGCUUUUUUUGGAAAGAAUACGACAAAAUUUCCUUUCCUUCGUGCUACCAGCAGGGCUGGAAUCCCAGAUCAGUCUGAGUGCAAAGGAUUGCUCAGUUCUACUCCUGAUUUCCAGUUGUGUUUCCUGGGAAGAGCUCCCUUCUUUUCCUGCCAGCACUCAGGAUCUCCCAGACUUUUUGGAGAAUUUGCAUUCAAUGAAAUCAGCCAGCUCAGACUUUUAAUUGGCUCAUCCAUGUUAAAUGUCUUUACAGGACUGAAACAACCUCUGCAAAGCUGCCAGUAGUGAUUUCAAGGUUAUCAUGAACUUUGAACACUCUUGAAACCAAAGUCCAACUUCAGCUCCUCAAGACCUGGCAGACAGCACUGGAUGCUUUUUUCCAGACAAUGCCUCCCUUCGUUCCAGGACUUCAAUUAAAAAGGAAGGUGUAAAAACCAGCAUCUUGUACAGAUAAAAAGAGAUGCUCACUUAUUUCCUGACAGACUGCAGAGGCCUUUGGGGGAUCCUGAAAGCAUCUACAGCCGGAAGGGAUGUGAGAGGUUUUCUGAUUAAAAAUUACCGUGAGGAUGUCAAAUAUUUCCACGUCCUCCUGAUAUCUGGGCUUGGUUACCCCAUAACUGAUCCAACAUAUCCAUCUUCAAUAGGCACAGGUAAAGGGGGAACAAAAGCAGAUAAAUAUGUUGUCAUUUAAAAUGCACAAUUUCCUGUAAAAUGUCCAUAUUGUUCUGCUCUGGAUGUUCCUUGAGAGACGCUGGAGUUGUCAGGAUGUGUUGCUGCCGUAUUUUAAAUGUAUCUCAUCAAAUGCAUUCCUGAUUUCAGGUGGGCAGUCAGGAAACUCUCUGCAUGAGAUCCUGAAUGCUUUUCCUUUCGUUUGUGACACACUGAGAGAUGUGAGAUCUGGAUCCUGUUGCUGAGAAGAUGUUGGGAUGGGAUUGAUGGAAAAGAGUGGAUUUUCACUGGAUAAUGGGAAUGGUUUGGGUGCCAGCAUCCCCAGGCCAGGCUGGGCUCUCCUUGCCUGUGUGGAGAGAGAAAAAUGGGAUUUAAAUUGGAUUUCUGAUUCAGUGGUGGGCACAGUGAGUAAAUCCUGUCAGUGUUCUGAGGUCUGGUAGGAAUUUAACAGGCUGGGAGAGCUGGAGGGACUCACCUGGAGAGGAGAAGCUCCAGGGAGAGCUCAGAGCCCCUUGCAGGGCCUGAAGGGGCUCCAGGAGAGCUGGAGAGGGACUGGGGACAAGGGAUGGAGGGACAGGACACAGGGAAUGGCUUUAAAAUGACAGUGGGUGGGUUUAGAUGGGAUUUUGGGCAGGAAUUGUUCCUGGCAGGGUGGGCAGGCCCUGGCACAGGUGCCCAGAGCAGCUGGGGCUGCCCCUGGAUCCCUGGCAGUGCCCAAGGCCAGGCUGGACAUUGGGGCUGGAGCAGCUGGGACAGGGGAAGGUGUCCCUGCCA